rnacentral:rRNA from 1 species
UACAGAGGGUGCAAGCGUUGUUCGGAAUUAUUGGGCGUAAAGGGCGCGUAGGCUGCGGGGCAAGUCGGGUGUGAAAUCUCAGGGCUCAACCCUGAAACUGCACUCGAUACUGCUCUGCUUGAGGACUGGAGAGGAGACUGGAAUUCACGGUGUAGCAGUGAAAUGCGUAGAUAUCGUGAGGAAGACCAGUGGCGAAGGCGGGUCUCUGGACAGUUCCUGACG